rnacentral:rRNA from 1 species
GGCUCGGCAAGCUGGUCCAUCAAACGAUGGUACUGGUCAUGUCGGGUCUUACCUUCUGGGGAACCAAGGUGCUCUUUACUGAAUGCUUUGGGGAACCAGGACCUUUACUUUGAAAAAAUUAGAGUGUUUAAAGCAGGCUAACGUCUGAAUACAUUAGCAUGGAAUAAUGAAAUAGGACGG